GAGAUAAGAGUAAGAGAGAGAGAGAAGGGGAAGAGGGAAACAAAUAAAAGAAGAUAAGAGAUUGCUGUGUUUCUUAAGUUCUCUCUUGCAUUUGAGAUAUAUAGAUUUUCCAGUAAUGGAGAAAGCUCUGAGCAAAGUGGGGAGCAUCAAAGCUGGUACUUUCUGGGUUUCCAAGAAAGCCAAACAAGAGAUCUCCAACAUCUCCCAAGAUCUCUCUAGCUUGACUAACACAGUUGAAGAGAAGGCAAAAUGGGUAUUCAAUAAGC